CUGCUUACUCACAAUCAAUGUGCUUUCUCACAAGUAAACCAAAACAAGUAUUUCUCCAGCAGUUCUCUGCCGGUGUCAGGAUGUGAUCGCCCAGCAUUCACACUAGCUAAACUGUUCCCAUCCUGCCAAAAGCAAUUGGGGUGGAGAUAGCCUAAAUGAUAAGAGCCAUCUGGCUAGGAGGAUUGAUUUAUGGCCUGCUCUGGUUUUCAAGCCUGGGAAAAGACAAUCGACAGAUAGGUGUGAAUGUGGAAGGGGAGCUGGGGGGAAGUAGUAGUUUGAUAUGCUGGGGUCUUGGCGGGAAAGGGUUAGUACUAGCUUUGUGUUCAUCUUGGCAAGAAGGAUUUCAAUAAAGCGUUUCCACGGAACUACCUGUGUGAGCUUGCAUUGUGUCCUAUAGCUUCCAAGGACUGACAGUCGGGGAGAUGCUUGCAGCAGUGAUCCCAAACAGGAAAGAUAGCAGUGGCAAAUCAUGUUGCAGGAGGAGAGUUAAAACGGUACUGAUUUAGAUUUGGGGCGUGGAGCAAUACCGUUUCAGUGCAGGAUAUGUGGUGCUAAUGCGGUGAAUCCAGAGCUGAAUAAUCUCAACUACAGCUAGGCUGUUUUGAUGGUGUAGUUAAGCCCCUAUUUAGUCCUUUAUUCCUCAGAGUCUUAUUCUUUGUUCUUUGGCUCACUGUUCUCUCCCACUCACAGAUGAAAAGAGCACCGUGCCUUGCAAAAAAGAACAACUUCAUUGUGGCAAUGGACCCUGCUUGAUGAACUGGCUGCGUUGCCGCUACAAGAAGGACUGUGGCAAAGACAAUGUGUCAAUCACAGUGGCAUGUUCAGAAAUUCAUCUAAACAAAACCAGCCCCAUCAACGUGUUUACCCAUUACACGGCAGCCAUUGGCUGCGUGAGCAUGCCAGAUUCGUCUGUGUUGGUAGCUGGGGUCGUGAUUGGCUUGGUGCUCUUCCUCUCCUGUGUAGCCAUCAUCGUCGGCAGCCUACGAAAAAAACGGUGUUUUCGACAUCUCCAACUGCAGAGGGAUGUGAGCUACACUCCAGAUUGCUUCUCUUAUGGCGGUGGCUCAAUCGGAGAACUGAGGCCCAGCUGCAUUGAGGAAUUCUCCCCAGCAUUUUAUUUCAGUUCCUACAUGGAGACGCUAUCUCAGGUCAACAUCACACAUCCUGACUCUCCUCCACGCUAUGAUGAGUGUGUAGGACCAGAGGCAACACAGAUUUACAUUCCUACAGACGAUCCUCCACCUUAUUCCCUGAUAGACCCUUGCCAACAGAAUGGCAUGACCCCCAGCAUCGCCUGGAGAGGAGGAGGAGGAGGAGGAGAGAUGGGUCCUGGGACUGCUACAGAAUGGGAUGCUGGGCAUUUGCUCAGCCUUCAAGACUUGCCGCAGCCCAUCCCUUCCAUUUCCUUGUUGUCGUCGUCAUUCCCAAUGGAGGCUGCUCCUCCGUAUGAGACUGUGGUUCAUGAACAGACCACCACCCUUCCCUUAGCACAGCUGGACCUUCUAAAGAACUCAACAGAUUACUAUCAGACUUCUUCCAACAGGAUAUCUUAAAGGGAAACAUUUACCUCUGUAUGCUGCUCAAGGAAUCUGUCAAGCUGAAGAAAGGGUGAUAAUGUAGAACAAUAACAAUUUAGUCACCCUUCUACUUAACAAUGCUUUUCUUCUUUUUCUACUUCGAACAGGGCUAGAAUGGGGUGAGGUUAUGCAUUGGUGAUUGUUUGCCUACACAUUUUUACCUUUCUGUUUUUGAUUCCCUAGCACCCAACUUUAUCCCAACUUUAGGGUAUCUAGGCCUCUCAGUAGCAUUUGAAAGCAAACCUGCUCAUAGAAUAGACACAUGUUGUAUGGCCAAACCUAGCUAUUAGGUUCGUUAGGGUGUCUUGCAUGCCUUAGAAUAAAGGAAAUGAGAUAAAGUGUUCACAGACAUCUUGUUAGGGACUGAUGGUACAGUCGUAGUAAUAGCCUUGGAAAGAAGCAUGGAUGCAUUUAGAUGUAGAUUUUUAGCUUGUGUUCCUAUUCAAAAGCUACAUUGGAAUUAGUCCCAUUUUACCUGCUCAGGAUUUAGGAUGAAAGAGGCUUCUUGUACAUGUGCUUAACUGGCCUGGGUCUUGAACAAAAAUCCAAAUCUAAGCAUUCUAGUUAGAACUCUGCUGGUGUCUUAUGCCUGAGGAAACGCCCCUAUGGAAGUGGUUGGACUUUCAGAGUUGGACUACACAUUCAGAGUUGUGUAGUACAGUAGAGUCUCACUUAUCCAAGCUAAACGGGCCAGCAGAAGCUUGGAUAAGCGAAUAUCUUGAAUAAUAAGGAGGGAUUAAGGGAAAGCCUAUUAAACAUCAAAUUAGGUUAUGAUUUUACAAAUUAAGCACCAAAAGAUGUAUAUAUAUAAAAGAGUGAUGGCAUCACGGCGACCCACAAAACUACAGGCCCCCCAACCUCGAAAUUUGACAACACAACCCAUCAUCCACGCCUCUAGGUUGAUACAACAAAAAGAAAAGAAAAAUAAAGUCCUAAUUAGAGAGAGAGGAAUAAUUGCUUUUAUCCAAUUGCUGCCAAUUAGAAGGCUAAGAUCCUCCAACUUGGUCUCCUAGCAACCCAAUAAAAAAUAAUAAAAAACACUAAAAAUUAAUACAAUAAAAUACUAUAAUAACAGAAAAUAACUAAAAAAUAAAUAAAUAAAUAAAAAUAUAACUUACAAUAAAAUGAAUAAAAAUUGCAAAUAACGUCAAAUAAAAAUUACACAACAAUUUUUAACCAAGACCACCACCACUUUGCCACAGCAACGCGUGGCCGGGCACAGCUAGUCAUGUUAUACAAUAAAUUUGACAGAAAAAGUAGUUCAAUACGCAGUAACGCUAUGUAGUAAUUACUGUAUUUACGAAUUUAGCACCAAAAUAUCACGAUGUAUUGGAAACAUUGACUACAAAAAUGCGUUGGAUAAUCCAGAACGUUGGAUAAGCGAGUCUUGGAUAAGUGAGACUCUACUGUAUGUCCAUUUUUCACCAUUCUGCAUGGACACGUAUUUUCCACAGUUGCACAUACAAAUGUGCCUGUGCAUUCUGUUGCACAAUGUUGCAGCUCACUUGCAAGAUGGCAUUUCACAGCCACUGUGUAACCCCAUGAGCAUAAGGUUAGGUGUAGAAGUUCAGCCUCUCUGCAUUUGUUAUUAAAAAUGUCUCUUGCUCCCCAGUAUUUAGUCAUAACUUGGAUCAGAUUAUCUUUUGGAAUACAUCUCCCUCACUCAACAUUCCUAAAGGUCAGUCUGCCUGGGAGAUUUUGCCCACUAUGGUUCAAAAGGCAGCUUUCCCAACCUCUGAACUUAUUACAAUGCAGUUGUUUUAUGUAACCAAGAAUUGUAAUGGGCAGAAACAUUUCCCUUCCUUUCUCUUACUGUAGUAGUUGUUUUAAACUUUAGACAACCAGCAGUAUGAUUAAGUGGAUAGGAUACAGGGCAACGUGGAAUGGCAAACAUUUCAAUUCUGAUCCCUUCUUGGUUCCAAGGCUUCCUAGGUUCUGUUUUUGAGCUCAUUUAAAACAAAGAUUAUUAUUUGACAUUUACUAUCCAAAGAUACAUUGCCUCUGCUAUUGUAGCUUCCUUUGAGCAACCACACUUGACUUAAUACUCACUCAGGACCAAACCAAACAUGGUGCAAUAUGCAUCUUUGCAUUUCAUUUAUAGGCAGGCUAUUUAUAAAAUACCAAUUGUAUCAGAUGGAGCAGGUAAUACAGUAGAGUCUCACUUAUCCAACGUAAACAGGCCGGCAGAACGUUGGAUAAGCGAAUAUGUUGGGUAAUAAGGAGAGAUUAAGGAAAAACCUAUUAAACAUCAAAUUAGGUUAUGAUUUUACAAGUUAAGCACCAAAACAUAAUGUUAUACAACAAAUUUGACAGAAAAAGUAGUUUAAUAUGCAGUAAUGCUAUGUAGUAAUUACUGUAUUUACGAAUUUAGCACCAAAAUAUCAUGAUGUAUUGAAAACAUUGACUACAAAAAUGUGUUGGAUAAUCCAAAAUGUUGGAUAAGCGAGUGUUGGAUAAGUGAGACUCUACUGUAGUUAUCAAGAGAGCAGUAUGUAUAGAAGAGAAAAUUAACCCUCUAGUGCAGUGGUUCUCAACCUGUGGGUCCUCGGGUGUUUUGGUCUACAGCUACCAGAAAUCCCAGCCAGUUUACCAGUUGUUUGGAUUUUUGGGGGUUGAAGACCAAAACAUCUGGGGACUCACAGGUUGAGAACCACUGCUCUAGUGCUCUCCCCAUUGUGGUCUGAAGAAAAUUCCUUUGGUGGAGUUCGGAUGUUCUUUGGGGAAAUCCUGGUGAACAUUAUGAUUUCUUCCUGAUGCAAAUAGCUGCUUCAGAACAUUGUCUUUAUGAGAAAGAGUUUUCAAUUCCUUGGAAGGAGCUGAGGAUAGAAUGAAUGGAUUGGUCACUGCCAGAUAAAGGUUCCCAGAAUGAUCAGUUCAAAGGCGCCAUACUCUUUUCCUCAUUAUUUUAAAACAAAAUUAAAAAUAUAAUAAUAACAAUAACAACAACAACAAUAAUAUAUUAUUUUCCUUUUUUUCCAUGGAAGAAACAGUAAGAAAUCAUAGGAUUACUGAUCGAUGAUAUGGAAUCUGGACUACAUUGUAAACUUUCACAAGGAGACAAAAUUACAAAGGAAAUCUGUGCCUCGCAGCUUGUCACAGCAGACCACCAAUAUCAACAUGAUAUAAUCAAAGUGUAAUUACCAUAUAUAUAUAAAAAGAGAAUGGCAUCGCUCCACCGGGCAAAACAACAAAACUAAAGGCCCCCCAACCUCAAAAUUUGACAACAGAACCCAUCAUCCACGUCUCUAGGUUCAUACAACAAAACUAGACAUCCCCAAUUACCAUGGGGCCUAAAAAAACCCCAAAAACUGGAAUUCUCCCUCAAUUACUUUCACUUUCUCCUUCUCUUUCCCUCAAUUUACCCCUCAAUCAUAAUAAAAACCAAAACAACAAUAACAAUAAACAGCUUCACAGGCAAGAAGCAGCCAGGCACUGAAGCUGCGAGGCCAUUCAGUGCUAAUCAAGCUCACCAAUGCCAACAUUGGCACUUGCCCUCCAAACAGACAAUACAAUACAGUUUCACUUAUCCAAGCUUCACUUAUCUAAUAUUUAUUAAUACAUAACAUUACUCUAUCUCAUAUGUAAUAAUUAACUCUGGUCAAAUAAGAAAACAGAACAAUAGGAUCUCCAAAAUCAGGACACUAAAUACAAAACAACACUCAGAAGACAGGGCAAUUCCAGACAGGAAACAAUCACACCCAGAUAACACCUCCCAAAAAAGGAUUCCCUCAACCAGGAAACACCCAGGCCUCGAACCUGCAAGGCCAUUCAAUGCUAAUCAAGGUAACUAAUUGCAACAUUCAUACUUGCUACACUCAGACUAUUCAUUACUAUUCCACCUCCCAACCAACAAUUCCACAAAGCAGAAAGCGGCCAGGCUUCCAACCAGCAAGACUAUUCACUCCUCUUCAACCUACCCGACCAAGAUUUCCCCUUAAUCAAAAACCCUCACUUUUGGAAGCCAUCAGGGCACUCCCUCCCAUUCAACCAGUCCAACCAAGGAGGCCCAUAUAUACAAAGUGCCCAGGCUUACAAGCAGCGAGUCUACUCACUGCAAUUCCAAUUGGCCACAGCAACGUGUGCA
rnacentral:lncRNA from 11 species